rnacentral:tRNA from 1 species
GGCUCAGACUUGUCGAACUGCAAAUUCGAUUUUGGGAAUUUCCCCUGGGCUU